rnacentral:lncRNA from 1 species
AAAUUGGUACCAGCAGAGUGGGGUAUUCCUGUGACAACCUGACCAUGUUUUGGGGAGGACUGUGGAAGGACUUUGGAACUUUGGGCCAGAAGAUCCAUUCGGUGUUAAGAGCUCUGUUGAAUGUUGUGUAGGAGCUUGGAAGAUAAUGUUGAGAACAGUGCAGGAGAUGGAGGCCUGGCUUGUGAAAUUUCAGAGGGAAGAUUAAAGACUCUUUUCAGGGCCAUUGCUAUUUUUGAUUGUGAAGAUUCUGUGGUUCUGGUUAGCUGGGGCUGAAGAAUCAGCUGUGAUUAACAAGAUACCAGAACUACUAAAGCAAAAAAAAUUGUAUUACUGGGACUAUUGAUGCUGGUUAGCUGGAGCUAAGAAAUUAGCGGUGAUUGAGAAGAGACCAGCAUCAUUGAGGUGACAUCUUCUGGGAAGUGUUUUCUGAGAGCACAGUGGCUGUGUUCCAGAUAUAGCCAAAGUUGUACCUUGUGCUGUGGCUGGACUUGGUAACGUGUAAGGGUCACCCAGGUGGUACUGGUUUUGAAGGCAUAAAGGAGUUGAGCAGAGCAGCUGAGGCUUGGCACUGUGAGAGGCCAUGGAAGGCCAUUGGUGAAGGUGCAGCCUCAGUUGCAAUUGAUGGCCCAGGACUGAAGGGGUCAUGCAGUGUUUUGGAGAUGCCAGUACCAUGAGAUGACCACCAAGAACAGCAGCAGCAGUGGAGUACAGGCAUCUGGAGCCUAGAGGACGAUGUGUGUGCUACAAAGGGCAUGGCUGGAGAAGUGACCCAAGCCCUUGGAGGAGCCCAGAAGAUCGUGAGUUGAAUCCCAGACAUUGGACGGUUGGAGAUUGAUUUUUGCUUUAGCUUGUGACUGUGCCCUGAUAUUUUCCCUCUUGAAGGAAGAAACUAUUUUAGUGGAGCCCACAGUUAAGAAACUUUUAAUUGUAAAAAGACUUUGGAUUUUAAGAGAUGGAUAUUUUAAAGAGAUUGAAAUUUUAAGAAUAUGUAAAGAUUGUGGGAUGUUUAAAGUUGUUUAGACCUUGGGGAUGAAUAAGAAUGUAAGGGUUGAGGCUUACUAGUGAUGUGUUUGUGUGUCAAGUUGACAAGGGGUCAAUUGUACUGGCUACUUUUGUGUCAAUUUGACACAGCUGGAGUUAUCACAGAGAAAGGAGCUUCAGUUGAGGAAAUGCCUCCAUGAGAUCCAACUGUAAGGCAUUUCCCCAAUUAGUGAUCAAGGGGGAAAGGCCCCUUGUGGGUGGUGCCAUCUCUGGGCUGGCAGUCUUGGGUUCUAUAAGAGAGCAGGCUGAGCAAGCCAGGGGAGGCAAGCCAGUAAAGAACAUCCCUCCAUGGCCUCUGCAUCAGCUCCUGCUUCCUGACCUGCUUGAGUUCCAGUCCUGACUUUCUUGGUGAUGAACAGCAGUAUGGAAGUGUAAGCCGAAUAAAUCUUUUCCUUCCCAACUUGCUUCUUGGUCAUGAUGUUUGUGCAGGAAUAGAAACCCUGACUAAGACAGAGGAAAAGUGUGGAUUUUUACUGGGGCAUUGUGCAUGUGCCAGAGGACAUGUGAGAUGAGACAGUGGGAAUGUAUGGCCUCUGGGCAUGUCCUGUUGUCACUGCAUCCCUCAGCUGAUCAUUACUGAGGGGGCUAGUGAUGGAGGUGCCUGAUUGCCAACAACGGGUACAGCGACAGGCCAGGCUGUGAUGGUGAGCUUUAUAGAGGGGCGGCUUAGUUAGGGUUUCUAUUGCCAGGAUGAAACACCAUGCCAAAAGCAAUUUGGGGAGGAAGGGAUUUAUUUGACUUACAUUUCCACAGCACUGUUCAUUACUGAAGAAAGUCAAGACAGUAACUCAAGCAGGACAGAGACCAUGGAGGGUGCUGCUUAUCUGUUUGCUACCCCUGGCUUGCUCAGCCUGCUUUCUUAUAGAACUCAGGACCACCAGCCCAGGGAUGGCACCACCCACAAUGGGCUGGACCUUCCCCCAUUGAUCACUAAUUAACAAAACAUUUUAGAGAUGGAUCUCAUGGAAGCAUUUCCUCAAGCAAGGCUCCUUUCUCUCUGAUGCCUCUAGCUUGUGUCAAGUUGACACACAAACCCAGCCAGCACAAGGUAUGGAGCACACAUAAGGAAAAUGUGGCAAUGGUGGAAACAUGUCUUAUUGGCCCUUAGUGGAGCCAUUGGCACAGUCAUUGAAAGUGCUGUGGGGGAUGAGGGAGUUGCCAGGAACCUGGUUCUGGAAUGGGGACAAAGGACUUUUGGCAGUCCUUAGUAUGCCCAAUAAUUUCCCCAUAUGUUUUUAGGUGGCUGUGUUUUAGCAGAAGUAAAGAACUUUGGUCAGAUACAAAGGUUAAGUACAGUUGUGCUCUUAUACCAAGCUGAGGCUGCUCUACCGGGAAAGCUCCUUGUCAUACUUGACAGGCAUAGUGGCCCUUGCUUCUAGCACACAGGAUCCCAGGUACAUACAUAUAUAAAAUAUGUACAUAAAACACCCCUUGUAAGCAGGGAGAUAGGCAAUACCCUACAAAUAUCCUGUGAUAUUUGCACCCAUACAAGUCAGAAGAGUAAAGCUGUCUUCCAUGAAAAAAAAUACUUAGAAUAAAUCAUAAGGAAAUUUAUCUUAAAAUAAAUGUUUCAUAUACAUAUAUUUCCAUUUAUUAAAAAUUAAAGCAAAUUUGCAUGC